CAGACAUAAAACAGACCAUGUUAAACGACCUUGAAAAUAAGAACAAACUAAAUGGCCCCUGUUUGAAUGUUUUUGGUUGGGGCGACCGCGGGGCAACAAAAAACCCCCAUGUGGAAUGAAAACACCUUUUUAAAACCAAGAGCAACUGCUCUAAGUAACAGAAAAUCUGACCAAACAGAUCCGGCCUAGCCGAUCAACGAACCGAGUUACCCU
rnacentral:rRNA from 1 species